rnacentral:rRNA from 1 species
GGGGAAUAUUGGACAAUGGGGGGAACCCUGAUCCAGCCAUGCCGCGUGUGUGAAGAAGGCCUUAUGGUUGUAAAGCACUUUAAGCGAGGAGGAGGCUCUUCUAGUUAAUACCUAGGAUGAGUGGACGUUACUCGCAGAAUAAGCACCGGCUAACUCUGUGCCAGCAGCCGCGGUAAUACAGAGGGUGCGAGCGUUAAUCGGAUUUACUGGGCGUAAAGCGUACGUAGGCGGCUUUUUAAGUCGGAUGUGAAAUCCCUGAGCUUAACUUAGGAAUUGCAUUCGAUACUGGGAAGCUAGAGUAUGGGAGAGGAUGGUAGAAUUCCAGGUGUAGCGGUGAAAUGCGUAGAGAUCUGGAGGAAUACCGAUGGCGAAGGCAGCCAUCUGGCCUAAUACUGACGCUGAGGUACGAAAGCAUGGGGAGCAAAC